rnacentral:rRNA from 1 species
UGAAAGCUCCGGGCUUAACCCGGAGAGGUCGUUCAAUACUGUCGACCUAGAGGACAUCAGAGGACCAUGGAAUCUCCGGUGUAGCGGUAAAAUGCGCAGAUAUCGGAAGGAACACCAGUGGCGAAGUCGGUGCUCUGGGGUGGGCCUGACGCUGAGAGACGACCGCUAGGGGAGCGAACAGGAUUAGAGACCCUGGUAGUCCUAGCCCUAAACGAUGGAUGCUAGGUCUGGGGCCGAGAAGGCUCUGUGCCGCAGUUAACGCGCUAAGCAUCCCGCCUGGGGAUUACGGCCGCAAGGCUAAAACUCAGCCGAAUUGACGGGGCCCCGCACAAGCAGCGGAGCGUGUGGUCUAAUUAGAUGCUACACGAAGAACCUUACCUGGGUUUGACAUGUACGUGUUAGAGAAGCGAAACCGGAUCGACCCUUCGGGGAGCGUACACAGGUGCUGCAUGGCUGUCGUCAGCUCGUGCCGUGAGGUGUCGGGUUAAGUCCCGUAAUCGAGUGCAACACCUUGCCGUUAGUUACAAGUGUUUAAGGGGACUGCCGCCGGUAAGCCGGAGGACGGUGGGGAUGACGUCAAGUCAGCAUGGCCCUUAUAUCCAGGGCUACACACACG